rnacentral:rRNA from 1 species
GAUGAACGCUGGCGGCGUGCCUAAUACAUGCAAGCCGAGCGAACGGGCGAGAAGCUUGCUUCUCUGAUGUUAGCGGCGGACGGGUGAGUAACACGUGGAUAACCUACCUAUAAGACUGGGAUAACUUCGGGAAACCGUAGCUAAUACCGGAUAAUAUUUUGAACCGCAUGGUUCAAAAGUGAAAGACGGUCUUGCUGUCACUUAUAGAUGGAUCCGCGCUGCAUUAGCUAGUUGGUAAGGUAACGGCUUACCAAGGCAACGAUGCAUAGCCGACCUGAGAGGGUGAUCGGCCACACUGGAACUGAGACACGGUCCAGACUCCUACGGGAGGCAGCAGUAGGGAAUCUUCCGCAAUGGGCGAAAGCCUGACGGAGCAACGCCGCGUGAGUGAUGAAGGUCUUCGGAUCGUAAAACUCUGUUAUUAGGGAAGAACAUAUGUGUAAGUAACUGUGCACAUCUUGACGGUACCUAAUCAGAAAGCCACGGCUAACUACGUG